UCCCUGGUGGUCUAGUGGCUAGGAUUCGGCGCUUUCAGCGCCGCGGCCCGGGUUCGAUUCCCGGUCAGGGAA
rnacentral:tRNA from 1 species